AGUGAACGCUGGCGGUAGGCCUAACACAUGCAAGUCGAACGGCAGCACAGUAAGAGCUUGCUCUUACGGGUGGCGAGUGGCGGACGGGUGAGGAAUACAUCGGAAUCUACUUUUUCGUGGGGGAUAACGUAGGGAAACUUACGCUAAUACCGCAUACGACCUACGGGUGAAAGCAGGGGAUCUUCGGACCUUGCGCGAUUGAAUGAGCCGAUGUCGGAUUAGCUAGUUGGCGGGGUAAAGGCCCACCAAGGCGACGAUCCGUAGCUGGUCUGAGAGGAUGAUCAGCCACACUGGAACUGAGACACGGUCCAGACUCCUACGGGAGGCAGCAGUGGGGAAUAUUGGACAAUGGGCGCAAGCCUGAUCCAGCCAUACCGCGUGGGUGAAGAAGGCCUUCGGGUUGUAAAGCCCUUUUGUUGGGAAAGAAAAGCAGCAGGUUAAUACCCCGCUGUUCCGACGGUACCCAAAGAAUAAGCACCGGCUAACCUCG
rnacentral:rRNA from 1 species